UUGUUGAGAUUUGAACCUUAAGAUCCCAAGAAUGUUACUUCAGCUCUUUGGAUGCACGGUUUGUGUCAUCCUUCUAACACCCUCCAUCAAUGUUGAACUUCUAGGAAUUAGAUGUUUUCUCUUAUCUUGUAUGUGUCAGUUCAGCAAAAUUGAAGGUAUAAGUUAGUUUAGAAUGAGUCUACACGGGAUAUCUCAGCCCCACCUGUAACAGGUCAAUCAGAAGGUGGUCUCUUAAAAUAGGAAUAUCAAAUUGAGCUUGAGAAUACUUUCUUUUUAUGAACUUACUGAAACCUUGGGAGAAAAGCUUAUUGAAACUUAGCCAAAAAAUACUAACAACUCCUUGUUACCUUUGUCAAAAAAAAAUACUAACUAAAAAAAGAAAAGAAAAAAGAAAAUGUAGCCGAAAAAUAAAAAUAGAAUGCAGCAAGUCUUUUGGUUGAGAAAAAGCUGAAAAUAUUCCACUUACUUUGGACUUGGGCUCAAAAUAGUCCUAUUUCUUUCUGGUGGAGCAUUAAUAGUCCUAUAUUUCUUAAAAAGUGGUGCAUAUUUAGUUCCAAUCCUUGCAGCCGUGAGUUUUUUAACAAGGCCACUAAUAUCACGUGAUUUUUGUUCAAGAAAAUAAACUCCUCUCUCCAUCUCAAAACAAAGCCGACUGGUUCUCCU
rnacentral:lncRNA from 1 species